GUAGGUGGCAAGCGUUGUCCGGAAUUAUUGGGCGUAAAGCGCGCGCAGGGCGGUUCUUUAAGUCUGAUGUGAAAGCCCACGGCUCAACCGUGGAGGGUCAUUGGAAACUGGAGAACUUGAGUACAGAAGAGGAAAGCGGAAUUCCACGUGUAGCGGUGAAAUGCGUAGAGAUGUGGAGGAACACCAGUGGCGAAGGCGGCUUUCUGGUCUGUAACCGACGCUGAGGCGCGAAAGCGUGGGGAGCAAACAGGAUUAGAUACCCUGGUAGUCCACGCCGUAAACGAUGAGUGCUAAGUGUUAGGGGGUUUCCGCCCCUUAGUGCUGCAGCUAACGCAUUAAGCACUCCGCCUGGGGAGUACGGCCGCAAGGCUA
rnacentral:rRNA from 1 species